rnacentral:tRNA from 1 species
GGGGAGAUGACUGAGAGGCUGAAGGUGCUGGUUUGCUAUAUCAGUGUUCGUCUUGCGGCGAACCAUGGGUUCGAAUCCCAUUCUCUCCG